rnacentral:rRNA from 1 species
UGCCGCGUGUGUGAAGAAGGUCUUCGGAUUGUAAAGCACUUUAAGUUGGGAGGAAGGGCAUUAACCUAAUACGUUGCUGUCUUGACGUUACCGACAGAAUAAGCACCGGCUAACUCUGUGCCAGCAGCCGCGGUAAUACAGAGGGUGCAAGCGUUAAUCGGAAUUACUGGGCGUAAAGCGCGCGUAGGUGGUUUGUUAAGUUGGAUGUGAAAUCCCCGGGCUCAACCUGGGAACUGCAUUCAGAACUGACAAGCUAGAGUAUGGUAGAGGGUGGUGGAAUUUCCUGUGUAGCGGUGAAAUGCGUAUAUAUGGGAAGGAACACCAGUGGCGAAGGCAACCACCUGGACUGAUACUGACACUGAGGUGCCAAAGCGUGGGGAGCAAACAAGAUUACAUGCCCUGGUAGUCCACGCCCUAAACAAUGUCAACUAGCCGUUGGGAGCCUUGAGCUCUUAGUGGCGCAUCUAAAGCAUUACGUUGACCGCCUGGGGAGUACGGCCGCAAGGUUAAAACUCACAUGAAUUGACGGGGGCCCGCACAAGCGGUGGAGCAUGUGGUUUAAUUCGAAGCAACGCGCAGAAGCUUACCAGG